AGAACGAACGCUGGCGGCAGGCUUAACACAUGCAAGUCGAGCGCCCAGCAAUGGGAGCGGCGGACGGGUGCGUAACACGUGGGAACAUGCCUUUCGGUACGGAACAACUGCGGGAAACUGCAGCUAAUGCCGUAUACGCCCUUACGGGGAAAGAUUUAUCGCCGAAAGAUUGGCCCGCGUCUGAUUAGCUAGUUGGUGAGGUAACGGCUCACCAAGGCUUCGAUCAGUAGCUGGUUUGAGAGAACGACCAGCCACACUGGGACUGAGACACGGCCCAGACUCCUACGGGAGGCAGCAGUGGGGAAUCUUGGACAAUGGAGGAAACUCUGAUCCAGCCAUGCCGCGUGAGUGAUGAAGGCCUUCGGGUUGUAAAACUCUUUUACCCGGAAGAUAAUGACUGUACCGGAGAAUAAGCUCCGGCUAACUUCGCGCCAGCAGCCGC
rnacentral:rRNA from 1 species